UACGGCAACAUCACGUUGAAACACCGGUUCCCGUACGAUCUCCGAAGUUAAGCAACAUCGAGCCUGCUCAGUACCUAGAUUGGUAACUACUUUGGGGAUACCAGAUGCUGUAAG